rnacentral:lncRNA from 1 species
AUCAAGCAUGAAGCAGCGAAUGGAAAUUAUGUAUUUAUACCCACUUCAAUGUUUGAUUUUACCACUUCCUGUAUAGCUUUCACUAGAGAAUGGGAACAUAUAGUGGUUACGUUGCUGUGUUUGUGCAGAUGCAUGCACCAGCAUACUACAAGUGCAUGUUUAAUAGCAGGCAAGAAGAAGAGCAAACAACUAUGGUGAUUCCUAUUUACUGGUACUUUGCUUUGCUCUUCUUUUGGGUGGCAGAAGAUGUUGUAAGCAACAAAUUAGAUGUUUUGACGGUCAGAUUGGGGGAUUCUCUUACGUUAAACUGCACCUAUAACUGCUCUGCUCAAUUUAUCCGUGGAUGUUGGAAUACAAAGGAAAAAAAUCCUCGCUGUUACACUGGGCCGAAAAACACAAACGGCUUUUGCACAGUGUCCCUGCCCCUGUUAAAUGUGACUGUAACAGACUCCGAAAGAACAUACCGAUGCUACACAAUACAAACAGACGACCCUCAAUAUCAUGAAGAAAUUCAACGCACUGUUGCCUUUAAGCUUCAAAAUGAUACGCGCCUCCUAAACUCCACUGGUAAGAAACUAGCAAAGAACAUUUAUUUUGUGACAUUAUUAUUAUUACUAUCAAAUUUUGUGUUUUUUUUUUUUUUUUUUUUUUUUAUUAUUAUUAUUAUUUUUAAACAAAUAUUGUAUAUACUUUUCUGUAUUUUAUCAUAUAGCAGCAGUUUCUGAUGAGCCGAAGGAAUCGACCGAAGAUGAGUUUGCUUCUGUUAACGGUACAUUUGCAUUUUGAGUUUAAAAAAAACAUUCAUCCACAUGUGGUAAAGACAGUUAAUCCAAUAUAACAGUGUUUUGUUUGUGUCAUCAGGAGAAUCGACGAGAAUUAAGGUUUUGGCCACAGGUGUUUUUUUCGUGGCCAUGGUUCUUGUCGCUCCUGCUGUUUAUAUCUGCGUGAAACGAAUCAGGCAAAUCUGUAACUAUAAAGGUGUGGAAAUGAUAUACACUCAAAACAAAAUUAGCAACUAUUGGGAAACCGCUUGUAUACAUAUAUUUUUAAAAUGAUCAAUUUUGAACAUUUCAGGAGAGCACGAAGGAUCAAGCUCAAGGUACUAACUUCAGUUACUAAUGUCUAUUAUAUUAGAGUUUAUCUCUUGGAGAUUUACAAGUUCUGACUGAUAUUUCAGCUCACCACAACCAACUGACACCGUCCCUUUAUCAAUGAAUGGUAGGUUACGAAACAUGUCUUUUGUUAGAAACCAAUCCUUUCAUCCUUUGGCGCAGCGCUUAUUUUAAUAUCUGUCCAUUUACAGGCACACCAUCAGUACAAAACGAAAGAGUAACUUUGAGGAUUCCUACAUCAGGUAAUGUAAUCAGUCCUCAUAACAGUGCCACACAGAUUUGAACUAAUGCCGUGUUUUUUCAACUUUUGGGGUCAUGACCCCAGGUGGGGAUGCCUGGAAUUUAAAUGGGUCACCUGAAAUGUAUUGAAAUUGACCAAACAAAUUACUGAAUAAGAAUACAUGUAAACUUUCAUUCAAAAAUAUAAAUUAUUUUUCAAAUUAAAACAGAACACACAAUGUUAAACAACAGCAUUCUGUGCUUUCAAUUUCUCAAACACAAAUCUAGUUUAGAAAAAAAUGCAGUAUAAAAAAAAGAAGAAAGACAAAAAAUAAAUACAAUUAAUUAAUUAAAUACA